GGACUGGCUUUAGCCCAGCGGUUCCUUUGAGUCUGGGCGCUCUCCAGUCCUUUU
ensembl:misc_RNA Vault Vault RNA